GUCGGUUUUCAGUUUCCGAAUAAAAUGAAGUAUAGUAUUUGUUUUUAUCGGUUUAAUGUCUCGUAGGUUGUUUAUUCCAGAUCGGUGUAUUAGGUAGGUGGUUGGAACAAAAAAACACAGUACGAGCUGGUUCUAGGUGCUCUGCGUAUUGAUGUGGUAUUGCAGUGCUUCCACAGACAGUGCACCGUUU
ensembl:snRNA U2 U2 spliceosomal RNA